rnacentral:tRNA from 1 species
AUUUAAAUAGCUUAUAUAGAGUAUGGCAUUGAAGAUGCUAGGGAAACGUGAAGUUUUUAAAUA